UUAAAUUGAAGAGUUUGAUCAUGGCUCAGAUUGAACGCUGGCGGCAGGCCUAACACAUGCAAGUCGAACGGUAACAGGAAGCAGCUUGCUGCUUUGCUGACGAGUGGCGGACGGGUGAGUAAUGUCUGGGAAACUGCCUGAUGGAGGGGGAUAACUACUGGAAACGGUGGCUAAUACCGCAUAACGUCGCAAGACCAAAGAGGGGGACCUUCGGGCCUCUUGCCAUCAGAUGUGCCCAGAUGGGAUUAGCUUGUUGGUGAGGUAACGGCUCACCAAGGCGACGAUCCCUAGCUGGUCUGA
rnacentral:rRNA from 1 species